rnacentral:rRNA from 1 species
AACGCGAAGAACCUUACCUGGGCUCGAAGUGUAGAGGAAGUUAUCAGAGAUGGUAACGCCCGAAAGGGCUUUUACAUAGGUGCUGCAUGGCUGUCGUCAGCUCGUGCCGUGAGGUGUUGGGUUAAGUCCCGCAACGAGCGCAACCCUUAUCAUUAGUUGCCAACAUUUAAGGUGGGGACUCUAAUGAGACUGCCUGGGUUAACCAGGAGGAAGGUGAGGAUGACGUCAAGUCCGCAUGGCCUUUAUGUCCAGGGCUACACACGUGCUACAAUGGUUGGUACAGAAGGCAGCGAAACCGCGAGGUGGAGCAAAUCCUUAAAGCCGAUCUCAGUUCAGAUUGUAGUCUGCAACUCGACUACAUGAAGUUGGAAUUGCUAGUAAUGGCGUGUCAGCAACAACGCCGUGAAUACGUUCCCGGGCCUUGUACACACCGACUGUAC